rnacentral:tRNA from 1 species
GCCCCUCCUGCUCCAUUGGAUCUAAGCGUCCCCCUCCUAAGGGGAAGGUCUCAGGUUCGAAUCCUGAUGGGGGCGCCA